GUCCAGGUUCUACCCUUUCCCAUAAACCCUCUUCAGCAGUAAAGUUCUAAAACUCCCCAUCCCUCUUGCUGCUCUUGGUUCAAUUAGAGCGGAUACUGACCUAAGCUGGAUUAAUCAGAUCUUCCCUCCUAUGAGGUUACAGUUAAGAUUCAGUGACUCCACUCACUUACCUAAUGACACUUAACUUUUAAGGACAUCUAAAUUUGAGGAUUGCGGAGUCAUGCCUCAUGGUGACAUAGCUAGUCCUUGCACGAAGAAGCAGAGAAAAGUGUCUGCCAAUUAACUAUAAGGUGAAGCAGACAGGCCAAGAGAAGAGGAGGGACCCCUGUCUCUGACCUUUCCACCUGGAUCCACCAUCUGCCUUUCAGUCCAAUGGAACUCCACUGGUUCUUCGUAAACAUCCCCUACUUUCACCCUGGUUUUACUUAAGCUAUUUAGGAUAGGAUAAAGUUGAAGAAACCUUUGUUUGGGGAUGGCGUAUCUGUCAGCUGCUUGUAAGCUACAUCUCUUAAUGACCCUUGGUUGUUACUGGUGGCAGUCUUUGCAUGGAAAUAUUACUGAAAUUUUUAUACACCUGGAGGUGGUUGCCAAUGGAUUGCUUAGCUCCCAAGGAUCAUGAACUUAUUGUUUAAUGUCUCCUUUCCACUCAAAUCUGAUGCUAUCAGCCCUGGAGCAGGUAAUCAGGUAGAAGAGGUCCUAGAUUGGAAAGUUGUAUCUACAGCUCAGAAUAUCUCUGUUUCAGAUAUUUAGCAGAAAUCUCAAUAUUUGUUUUCUAUACAGAUCUUGAAAAAUCCAACUUAUCUUAUUAAUGCUUAUGAAAUAUGCUAAUCAAUUCAUCUAGUGCCUUAGCAACCUCUAGUUUAUCUAUGUCAGGGAUGCUGUAUGCAAAGUUUUUCAAUGUUCUCAUAUAGUAAAUGUGCAAAAGAUUGCCUUAGUUAAGCUAAGCUUUCUAGUUAAAUUUUCCCCACCCAUUUUUUUGUUAUUCAGGCCUUUUGUUUCAGGUUACUUUUCAAGUUAGUUGAUUGAUGUUGUUUUUAAAUUUUCUAUUGUAUCUGUGCCACUUAUAGUGAAUAUACUCAAAUUCCUCUUGAGUAGAAUAAUCAAAACAUAACAGUGAAGUCCACCAUGAGAGCAGAAAAAUAUUGUCAGGAUCAUCCACUUCACUGAUAUAUCAGCCAAAAAUGUUGCACCAUAAGCUGAAACAUCACUAAAGCAAGAGGUUUAUAGACGCUACCAUGUGCUCGUGGAUCUAUUUCAGGGUCUUUUAAUCAAGUUUACAACUACUGAGCUUCACUCUUUACAUAAGAAAUUGAAGUAAAGAAAAAAACAUUCCCUGCACUUGAGUAAUUUACUGUCAUUGGGAAAUAUAGGCAUAAAGUCAGGGAGCAAGAAUAUAAGAACAAAAUAAGUUCUAGGAACAUAAGCACAUUUUUAAGAUAAAAUAAAGGAUAAGUAGUGUUGUCUUAGAGAACAAAUAAGGGAAUGUUGCUUGAAUUUGGCCAGGAAGGAUGAAUAGGUUGAAAAUUUCAAAAGGACAUCAGGAAUCUCCAGCAAAAGGAGCAACAUGAGCAAAGAGGUGGGUGCAUGUGACGGUUAAUACUGAGUGUCAAGUUGAUUAGAUUGAUGAAUACCAAGUAUUCUUUCUUUGCUGCGUCUACUGCAAGAAUGAAGACCAUUCUCAGCAAUCAGACUGUCGACAUUCCAGAAAAUGUCGACAUUACUCUGAAGGGACGCACGGUUAUCGUGAAGGGCCCCAGAGGAACCCUGCGGAGGGACUUCAAUCACAUCAAUGUAGAAUUCAGUCUUCUUGGAAAGAAAAAAAAGAGGCUUCGAGUUGACAAAUGGUGGGGUAACAGAAAGGAACUGACUACCGUUCGGACUGUUUGUAGUCAUGUACAGAACAUGAUCAAAGGUGUUACACUGGACUUCUGUUACAAGAUGAGGUCUGUAUAUGCUCACUUCCCCAUCAACGUCAUUAUCCAGGAGAAUGGGUCUCUUGUUGAAAUUUCUUGGGUGAAAAAUACAUCCGCAGGGUUCAGAUGAGACCAGAUGUUGCUUGUUCAGUGUCUCAAGCCCAGAAAGAUGAAUUAAUCCUUGAAGGAAAUGACAUUGAGCUUGUUUCAAAUUCAGCGGCUUUGAUUCAGCAAGCCACAACAGUUAAAAACAAAGAUAUCAGGAAAUUUUUGGAUGGUAUCUAUGUCUCUGAAAAAGGAACUGUUUAGCAGCCUGAUGAAUAAGAUCUAAGAGUUAUCCAGCUACAGAAAGAUGCCAGAUGACUCCUAAGACCUACUUGUGAUAUUUAAAUGAUGCAAUAAAAGACCUGUUGAUUUAGAAAAAAAAAAAAA